CGGGACGGGUGAGUAACGCGUGGGUAACCUGCCUCAUACAGGGGGAUAACAGUUAGAAAUGGCUGCUAAUACCGCAUAAGACCACAGUACUGCAUGGUACAGUGGUAAAAACUCCGGUGGUAUGAGAUGGACCCGCGUCUGAUUAGGUAGUUGGUGAGGUAACGGCCCACCAAGCCGACGAUCAGUAGCCGACCUGAGAGGGUGACCGGCCGCAUUGGGACUGAGACACGGCCCAG
rnacentral:rRNA from 1 species